UUGUCUUACCCUAUGGAGAGAAUGAGUGCUAUAGUGAGGCAGGACCUAUUGCCUCAUGUAUGUGUGGGAGGAGGGGCUUAGUCUGACUGUUGCCAUGACACUGGCGCUCCGAGUCGCCGUCUAGUUGAUUUGAACAGAAUUGGAGCGGGUGAGGGGAGCUAGGACCGGGGAGGAGAGAUUCGCGGGCAGCGGCCCCCCAAAUCCCUGCCCGGGAAAAGCACCGGGGGAGGCAGCUGGAAAGGAAAGUGGAGAACUGAGGUUCCGGAAACAACGGCGAUCAACUGACUACUUGUGAGUUUCACUUGCACAGAUCCAGAUGUGAACAGCACAAAACUCACAUACAGCAUAAUCCCCAAUGCUUACUCUCUGUACUCCUUCCGCAUGUCUGGGUCACAACUACUGGUAAACCAGAUCUUAACCUGUGAUUCUGCUGUAAUGGCCAGUGUAAAUUUCCAGUAUGCAGCCACAGUUGUGAGUGAUGGUGGCUCUCCUCCACUUACCAGUAAUAUCAACAAUCGAUAUGCUUGGAAACACUGUAAGACACAACCUUUUCUCCUACAACAACAAUGGUGUUUUCAAUCCUCUGACAUUUGAACUCCUGGUCCUGGUGACAGACAGCACAAAUCCCCCUCAGUACAGUACCACGGCAACUGUGAUUGUUAAUGUUAUUCCAUGGACUACUACACAGCCCACCACUACGUCAACCACCACGACUCCACAGAAACAAACAAGGAUUGUGAAUGGAACAGUGACAUAGAUGUAUCGGACCCCUUAU